GCGAUCAUUAGAUGAGUUUAGCAUAAAGGCUGCGGGCAGAGCGAGACAGGUAACCUGGCUCUGCCCGAAGGAAAUAAAAAUCCAUCUCACUGCACCUCUAAAGUCCGUUUUGGGGGAAAGUCUCCGGGAGGACAACAUUGACAAGUGCCGCCAAGUCGCUUACUGUGAAUUCACUGCUGGAAUUACUAUCAGCCAUGGACGCAUCCAUUUUCCAAGUCUGGAAUCAUCGCUUCCCUGAUCAGGAAAGGUUUUCCUUCACAGAGAGUAGUGGCCGCAGGAACACCACCACUUUUUUGGGAGGGUUACUUUUCCAAGAGCAGCCGUCAGAACCAUUCAGGGAGGAGUCCAUUGAAUCAGUAGUGCAUGAACCUUCUUCAGACAGAAACCGGUGGUCUGCAGGUCAGGAAAAAAUCUUUUUGAUUGGUUUGUUGCACUGCAAAUGCAUA